UUUCCCUCAGGAUAGCUGGAGCUCUUGCUGAGUUUUAUCGGGUAAAGCGAAUGAUUAGAGGCAUCGGGGGUGAAACACCCUCGACCUAUUCUCAAACUUUAAAUAGGUAAAGCAGCUGGGGUUCUUUGUUGAGCCCCGGCCGUGAAUGCGAGCUCCAAGUGGGCCAUUUUUGGUUAAGCAGAUUGACUAGGCCAUUUUCGG
rnacentral:ncRNA from 1 species